AGAACGAACGCUGGCGGCAUGCCUAACACAUGCAAGUCGAACGCUUCCGGGGCUUCGGUCGCGGAGGAGUGGCGCACGGGUGAGUAGCGCGUGGGAACCUGCCCUGUUGUGGGGGAUAACCGAGGGAAACUUCGGCUAAUACCGCAUGCGCCCGGGGAAACCCGGGGAAAGAUUUAUCGCAGCAGGAGGGGCCCGCGUCGGAUUAGGUAGUUGGUAGGGUAACGGCCUACCAAGCCUUUGAUCCGUAGCUGGUCUGAGAGGAUGAUCAGCCACACUGGGACUGAGACACGGCCCAGACUCCUACGGGAGGCAGCAGUGGGGAAUAUUGGACAAUGGGCGCAAGCCUGAUCCAGCAAUGCCGCGUGAGUGAUGAAGGCCUUAGGGUUGUAAAGCUCUUUCGCCCGCGACGAUGAUGACGGUAGCGGGAGAAGAGCCCCGGCUAACUUCGUGCCAGCAGCCGC
rnacentral:rRNA from 1 species